rnacentral:rRNA from 1 species
AUGGCGCCCCUGCUCCUGCUCUUCCUCCUCGGCGGCCUCUGCGCCCUCUUCUCCCUCGCCUCCUCCUCCUCGCGCGGCGCCAAGAAGUGCUGCGACGUCGACGGCGAGAAGGCCAAGAGUCACCACGGGGAGCAAGAAGCCAAGGCCAGCAAGGCGGUGGAGGAGAGGGAGGCGCGGCCGGCGCCGGCGGACCGGGAGGCGGACCUGGGGAUCGUGUUCUCCACGUUCGACCACGACGGCGACGGCUUCAUCACGGCGGGCGAGCUGGAGGAGUCGCUGAAGCGGCUGGGCAUCGCCGUGUCCGCCGCCGAGGCCGCCGCCAUGGUGGCCCGCGUCGACGCCAACAGCGACGGCCUCAUCGACAUCCACGAGUUCCGCGAGCUCUACGACUCCAUCCCCAAGAAGCGCAAGGCCUCGCUGCUCCCCGCCUCCGCCGGCGCGGCCGACGGGGCCGAGGAGGAGGAGGACGAGGAGGGGGAGGAGAUGGACCUCAAGGAGGCGUUCGACGUGUUCGACGGCAACAAGGACGGGCUCAUCUCCGCCGAGGAGCUGGGCACCGUGCUGGGCUCCCUCGGCCUGCGCGGCCGCCCCGCCGCCGCCGAGUGCCGCGACAUGAUCCGCCUCGUCGACGCCGACGGCGACGGCAUGGUCAACUUCGAGGAGUUCAAGCGCAUGAUGGCCGUCGUCAAGGCUUAG